UCCAUGGACUCAAUGGCUCCCUCAGGAUCUUUCUCCUGCAUUUUGUUGCAGACCACAAUGCAUUUCUCGCGGCGUCGGUUGCCCCGGCAAUGGGUAGCACGCGGUGAGGCCCACAUACCCCGAAGGUGGAGCUGGGCGGGGUCGCGAGGACCACCCAGAGACUGGAGGGGUUGGAGGCUACUUUGUGCCCACGCCAAGAGAAGUGCCUCCCCAAUUUUCGAAAGUUAUCCCAGGAUGAGGAAAAUAAGGUUCAGAGAUGUGAAGUCCCUUGCCUAAAGUUAUACUGUUCAGAAAUGACAAAGCUGGGCUGACUCCGCAGUCACAUAAAGUAGAUGGAACCUCUGAACUGCCCGUUUCCCCAGACAAAGACAGAUGAUGCAUGUUCCUGGAAACUGGAGAAAACUCGACUCUCUAGAACAAAGAGUUCAUUUGGAACUUCCUGACUGCUGAUUUUUUUUAAUAUUUUAUUUUUAUUUUUUUAUUUAUGAUAGUCACAGAGAGAGAGAGAGGCAGAGACACAGGCAGAGGGAGA